rnacentral:rRNA from 1 species
UUGAAAGGGAAACGAUUGAAGUCAGUCGUACUGGCGGGCAAUCAGCCUUUUGGGUAUGAUUAUGUGAGGCUUGAGGAGUUAAUCACCUUCAUCUUUGCAUAUUUGUGCACUUUGGGUGUACUUGCUCGUUUGGUAGGUUAACAUCAAUUUUAGUCAUCCUUAAAUUGCCGGAAGAAAUGUAGCUUCGUUCUCGUAUUGAAGUGUUAUAGCCUUUGGUAGACGUGAUGAUUGGGAUUGAGGAUUGCAACGGAUAUCUUCGGGCUACCUGUCUGAUCUCUGGAAGUUGCUCUGGUGCUGAAAGCUUGCUUAUGGUAUCAAAGUUGACGUCUAAUAGGUUAGAGUGGGUUAAAUUCGUUAAGGAUGUGACGUA